UCCUGGAACUUCAUUUGUAUUUGAAUGUAUUCUUUUGGUUUUGAUCUUUUUGAGGUUCCCAGUGAUGCUUUAACCAUGCUAAUACUGAAAUUAUCUGACGAGCAAUAUAUUUUUACUGAGGGAACCAUUUACCUAGUUCUGCUGUUUUGACUUCCAGAAACAUUGAAUUUUUCAUUUUAUUUGUUCCCUUUUCAAAUUUGUGCAAUUGCAUCCUGUUCUGAAUUUUGCGAUGAUGAUACACUUUACCCAGCUCAUUAUGAGACUUCCCUCUGUGGGUUGUCGUGAUAUGUACUUUUUUCCAUUGUAUCUGAGCUCUUGACAUGUUGGCAUAAGGUAUUACUCUCAUUGUAAAUGUUUUUUGACUUUCAAUGAUGAUACACUAUAAUCCCAGCUCUAUGAGUACUUCCCUCUGUGGGUUGUCUGAUCUCAACUAAACGUUAUAGUUCUAUCUGAGCAAACUACCUGUUGUUUACCUUUUUACUUCAGAACAGUAACUAAUUUGUUUCUAUUAUUUUUGCUUAUGCAAAUGUUUAGUGCUAGCAUUUUGUCUUGAUUAUUUUUGCAAUGAUGAUACUAUUACCCAGCUCAUUAUGAGACCUCCCUUUGUGGGUAGUCGUGAUAUGAACUUCUCUUUUGUAUCUGAGCAUUCUCAAAAUUCUUUUUUAUGAUCUCUUCAUUGCAUUUCAUUAUUGCCUAUUGUUUUGACUUGCAAUGAUGAUACACUAUAAUCCCAGCUCUAUGAAUACUUCCCUCUGUGGGUUGUUUGAUCUCAUCUCAAUUAAACGUUAUAGUUCUAUCUGAGCAUACUAUCUGCUAUUUUCUGCUUUACUUGAAAAGGGCAUCGAAUUCUUUUUGUAUUCUUUCUUAUGCAAAUGUUUAGUGCUAGCAUUUUGUCUUGAUUAUUUUUGCAAUGAUGAUACUAUUACCCAGCUCAUUAUGAAACUUCCCUUUGUGGGGAGUCAUGAUAUGAACUUCUCUUUUGUAUCUGAGCCCACUCACAUUUUUCUAAUUAUUAUUUCAUUACAACCUAUUAUCUUUGGCAAAAUAAGCACAGCUAGAUUGUUACUACUGCAGGGAUGAUACACUAUAAUCCCAGCUCUAUGAAAACUUCCCUCUGUUGGUCCUUUGUGAUAUGAAUCAAGCGUUAUAGUUAUAUCUGAGCAGACUAGUUUGAGAACAUGAU
rnacentral:lncRNA from 1 species